UGUUGUCAGAAACUUUGAUGUGCUGUGU
rnacentral:piRNA from 1 species